UGGGAGCACCAAAACUUAAGCCCAUUUAUUGGGCCCAAAUACAUGGGUUAGCAUGAGAGAGAGGAGAAAAUGAUCCAAUCCUUCAGGAGGAUACCUUGUAGCCCACUAUAACACUUCGGCAAAACACAAUCAAUAGAAUGCCCAAAAUUAGUAAAGCCAUUUCCAGCAACUUGACGAAAACCCAUCAAGCGCUGGAAAUAAUAGGCUAAUGACCCAAUGACGUGCAUACAAGCCCAGCCCAACAACUUAUAAAAACCGAGCACCGAGUUCCACCCCUGUUAGAACUCCAAGGACGGCCAACUAAGGAGCCAUGGCAGAGACCGAAGGAAAUCUAUGAAGGUAGGAAGAAUACCUAUCGGACAAGAAGCUCUACCCAUCUUUGUUUCCAUAUUACAAGCUUCAUUUUGAAAACCAAGAGGGAAAAGCAGGUGGCGCCUCACCCUCAUGGGGAGGUCCAGCUGCGUCAAAUCCUUGGAACCACAAAGGGUUUCUUACCCAUGCACCUUGGAUAGGAGAGUUUCACCAAAAUAGGAUUGAGUGGGGAGGAGCAAAAGGAAAAGGAAGAAGAAGACUAGAUGAAAUUAGGGUUCUUCGAGCCUAUAAAAAGGAAUUUCUUCUACCCAACAAAAUCAUCAUUCACAGCCUGACCAAGCUUUGUCAAGCAAGCUAAGAAUUUGCUCAAGCC
rnacentral:lncRNA from 1 species